rnacentral:rRNA from 1 species
GGGUCAGUAGGUUGGUCGUGCCACCGGUACGUACUGGUCUCACUGAUUCCUCCUUCCUGAAGAACCGUAAUGCCAUUAAUUUGGUGUUGCGGGGAAACAGGACUGUUGCUAUGAAAAAAUUAGAGUGUUUAAAGCAAGCUAACGCUUGAAUACAUUAGCAUGGAAUAAUGAAAUAGGACGAUCGAUCCUAUUUUGUUGGUUUCUAGGAUUGACGUA